AUUUAAUGUCCAAGAAGCUCUCAGCUGUCUCCACAGGUUGCUUGAACUCGAUACCAGCUACACGGAGUUUCUCAACAGGUUGGAUCAAUUGACGUAAAUCUGAAUCCCCGUCUUUGGGCGAAGGGGUGAAACUGGAGCGAGAAGGGAUGAAACUGGAGCGAAACAAAUCUAGUAAAUGUUUCCCAUCCAGAUUCUCAUGAUUACAUAGGAUUUCAUCAGGCCUCUGUAUCAUCCGAUUAAAGAAUCCUAGGGCGAGUUUUGUCAAGGAGGUAUCUUCUGCUAAAGACAUCUUAGACUUUUCGAACAAACUCUGAAGAACAAAGAAAGGAAUUUGAUUCUCUAGCCUGAGAAGAUCCCUCAUGAUAGAAUACAAUAUCCAUGGCUGAUUGAAUAUAGGAUCAUUGGGAUCAGGCUUGACUUUAUUUCCAUCUUUGAGGAAGAGCUCAAUAAUGAAGCAUCCAUCAAGUACCAGCAUUUCAAUGAAGUCAUGGUCGCUAUAUUUAUCAGUACUCCCUGAAUAGCAUUUCCUCAUCUCCUUUUGCACAUUUGCUAUGGCUUCCCAGAAGUCACCGUAGCAAACACCGUAACACUCUGUUCGAGCAAGAAUAGCAUUAAGAUAUCCACAUUUGUGUUGUUGAAUCAUUUGGAGGUGUUCUCUUCCAUGGUGGUAGGGGCCAAUGGACACUAUUUGCGGUUGAAAGGCCUUUGGGUGAAUUUCCGUAAGGCUUCGAGGCACUCGAAAGAUGGAACAACAGCUCGGCAACUUGGGCACUCCCGAUGUCGAACCUUGGUUUUGGUUGCCGACUUCAAUGACGUCGCGGUUGAAUUUCUUUAUUCUCCUAGCUCUUUUAUUAAAAAGAAUGAUUUAUUAACAAAAGCAUCGUAUUAGACAACACAUACGUGUCCCCAAUUAAAAGAAUGAAAUGAACAACCUUUUUUUGAGUCUUCAUCCUUACCCUGGAUUUUGGUUGCUUUGCACUGGUGGGCGAGUCAAACCUUCAAUAGGGAGAGGUUUGAUUUUCCCUGCAGGCGGAAUGCGGAGGUGCUUCCAGUAUUGAGGUAUAGUCUCUCGAUCUUCAUUGCUCUUUGCAUCAUCAUGAACUCUAGACUGGUCUACACCUUGAGCUUCUCUAACUAGAUCAAAAGUUGUCAUCGGGAUGUUGGUGGACAUUGGGAUCCCUGGGGGCUGAUUUGACCAAGCAAACGCUGGUGGGUAUUCAGAAUCAGGAGGAAGUUGGACCAGAAGCUCGGCGAAACAUCUUACUCUGUACUUUUCGUCUGUUUCACCAAAUAUCCUUUGGAUUGAAACUCCUCCAAGUAAGAUGGAAAGAUUUCUGAUCUCCUCUUCUUGUUUAUCAACAGAAAGAAAAUUCAAAAAACUUGCUGCUUGAAUACGAUCCUUGGUUGUUGGUAUUUGAAAGAAGAUAAACAAAACAAAAGAAACUAAAACUGUAUAAGUUACAGAAAUGGAGAGGAGAAAACAGAGUAAAGUUAAUAUUUCUCCCUCUCACUCAUUCUCAUUCAUUUCCAGCAAUAUAUAUAAAGAGAACAUCAAGCACAUUACUGUUUUACAUCAGCUUUACUAUACCUUCUUUAUAAGCUUUUCUACCUACUAAAACAGGCAGCCAUACUUCUAAAACCAAAACGCUAACCUAAGUACAAUAAUCAAAAAACCAAAUCCUGCAUAGUGUGACAGCAAAAUGUCACAACCUUCAUCACUUGUCCUUGGCAUUUUGUUGGAAACACCAAGACCACUCUUAAAUGUUUCAAAUUUCAGAAAAUCAAACUUAGAAGCAAGAGAGUUGGGCCACCAGUUCUCCUUUUCAUAAAUUCCAAGAGUAUACACCACUGCUGGAUGAAAACCUCCUCCUUGAGAGUAACUCUUCAUCAAGACCAUACUAAGAUUUCUUCAUCUUACUUUCUUCAAGUUCUUUUUUUUUUCUCUUCCUUCAACAAUUAAAAAACUUACAAAUAAUAGAUCAUGGCCCUCAACCAAUUCUCUUUGCAGUUUCUAGACUUGCUAAGGUCCCUCAAAGAACUUUUCUGCAGAUUAUGGACCUGCAGAUUAUGCUUCCAGCAGCAAAAAUUA
rnacentral:misc_RNA from 1 species